CCUACGGGUGGCAGCAGUGAGGAAUAUUGGUCAAUGGGCGAAAGCCUGAACCAGCCAAGUCGCGUGAGGGAGUACUGCCCUAUGGGUUGUAAGCCUCUUUUGUCGGGGAGCAAAAUCCGGACGUGUCCUGCUGUGAGAGUACCCGAAGAAAAAGCAUCGGCUAACUCCGUGCCAGCAGCCGCGGUAAUCCGGAGGAUUCGAGGGUUAGCCGGGUUUAUGGGGUUAAAGGGGUGCGCAGGCGGAGUUUUACGUCAGCGGUCAAAUCGUGGGGCUAAACCCCACCCAGCCGCUGAAACUGGGGAUCUAGAGUGCGCGAGAGGUAUGCGGAAUGCGUGGUGUAGCGGUGAAAUGCAUAGAUAUCACGAAGAACCCCGAUUGCGAAGGCAGCAUACCGGUGCACAACUGACGCUCAGGCACGAAAGCGUGGGUAUCGAACAGGAUUAGAUACCCCGGUAGUC
rnacentral:rRNA from 1 species